AGCGCGAAUAUUCAAAUAGGCAGCUAUGUUAGUUUGGCAUUCCCGCUACUACAGAAUAUGGUGAAAUAUUCCGGUGUGACUUGAUAAGUUGGCGUUAGCCCGCCUAGAUAGUAGGAGGCUUAAGAUCAUUACAUGUUUACAAACCGCCACCACAUAUACACGUCAUUUGUAAAUUACACCAGCGCCUUUAGUGUUAAUCUCAAUCGCGAAUUGCCUUAUGUUCGGUUUUGGAAUAUUCACCCGGUAUAUGUGCAUACCAUGGCCUAGUGCAUAUAAUACCAACUUCACCGCAGUUUACUCUCGGUACCCGCCUAUGUAUGAGUAUGAUCUACAUACCCGCUAGUAAAAAAUACAUGUCCAGUUCACCCUUUUGAUAAAAUCAAAAAAUUUAUUUGUAAGGCAAUAAAUAACCUACACCAAAAAAUUAGUGAUUUAUUGUUGAUAUCAUUCCGAAUGCUUAUGCCAUUACAUUGGUCAAGAUAGCCAUGGAUGACAACGUUGCAUAUGUUAAAAUUGAACCAAAACAAGAAGAAGAAGAAGAAAUAGAUUUGUCCAUUGAAAGCAACGUUCUUGUAAGCAAUGAAUUUUUGGCCACUAUAAAAGAGGAAGGUAAUGAAAUUACGACGAGCGUAGAAUGUUCUAGCAAGGAGUACAAUGGGGAAGAAAUACAACAACAAGGUCAUUUGUCACAAACUGUAGAGUUUCAAUGUUAUCAAAUAUACCUUUUGAUGCGGAACGAUCCUAAUAAUUUGAAAUGUCCAAACUGUGAUUAUGUAACAAACGUUAAACAGUAUUUAAAACGACAUCUCCUAAUACACAAUAUAUCUAAAGAGUUUAAAUGUGCAAUUUGUAAUUAUGUAACAAAUGUUCAACAGAAUUUGAAAUCACAUCUUUUAAUACACAAUGAUGCAAAAAAUUUUAAAUGUGGCAUUUGCAAUUAUGCAACAAGUAUUAAAAGACGUUUAAAGUUACAUCUGUUAAAACACAAUUCAAAAAAUUUUAAAUGUAAUUUUUGUGAUUACCGAACAAAUAUUAGGAAGAAUUUGGAGAUACACGCCUUAAGACAUAACAAGAUUCUAACCAGUAUCAUAAACUAUAAUUUUAAUUUAAAUCAAAAAACAGCGAAAUAAUACUAAGUCUAUGUUGUAGGUUCUAUUUUGUAAUGCCGUAACUUCAUUGGAAUAAUAAAUUUGAUGUUAAUUGCA